UACGUAGGGUGCGAGCGUUGUCCGGAAUUAUUGGGCGUAAAGGGCUCGUAGGCGGUCUGUUGCGUCGGGAGUGAAAACUCAGGGCUUAACCCUGAGCCUGCUUCCGAUACGGGCAGACUAGAGGUAUGCAGGGGAGAACGGAAUUCCUGGUGUAGCGGUGAAAUGCGCAGAUAUCAGGAGGAACACCGGUGGCGAAGGCGGUUCUCUGGGCAUUACCUGACGCUGAGGCGCGAAAGCGUGGGGAGCAAACAGG
rnacentral:rRNA from 1 species